GUGCUGGCUUCAGCAGCACAUGUACUAAAAUUAGGACGAUACAGAGAUUAGCAUGGCUCCUGCACAAGGAUGACAUGCAAGUUCAUGAAGUGUUCCAUAUUUUU
ensembl:snRNA U6 U6 spliceosomal RNA